rnacentral:rRNA from 1 species
GGAAGGUCUUCGGAUCGUAAAGCUCUGUUGUAAGAGAAAAACGGCACUCAUAGGGAAUGAUGAGUGAGUGAUGGUAUCUUACCAGAAAGUCACGGCUAACUACGUGCCAGCAGCCGCGGUAAUACGUAGGUGGCGAGCGUUAUCCGGAAUGAUUGGGCGUAAAGGGUGCGUAGGUGGCAGAUCAAGUCUGGAGUAAAAGGUAUGGGCUCAACCCGUACUGGCUCUGGAAACUGAUCAGCUAGAGAACAGAAGAGGACGGCGGAACUCCAUGUGUAGCGGUAAAAUGCGUAGAUAUAUGGAAGAACACCGGUGGCGAAGGCGGCCGUCUGGUCUGGAUUCUGACACUGAAGCACGAAAGCGUGGGGAGCAAAUAGGAUUAGAUACCCUAGUAGUCCACGCCGUAAACGAUGAGAACUAGGUGUUGGGGGAAUAACUCAGUGCCGCAGUUAACGCAGUAAGUUCUCCGCCUGGGGAGUAUGCACGCAAGUGUGAAACUCAAAGGAAUUGACGGGGGCCCGCACAAGCGGUGGAGUAUGUGGUUUAAUUCGAAGCAACGCGAAGAACCUUACCAGGCCUUGACAUCCCUUGCAGAGAUAUAGAGAUAUAUCCGAGGUUAUCAAGGAGACAGGUGGUGCAUGGUUGUCGUCAGCUCGUGUCGUGAGAUGUUGGGUUAAGUCCCGCAACGAGCGCAACCCUUGUGAUAUGUUACUAACAUUGAGUUGAGGACUCAUAUCAGACUGCCGGUGAUAAACCGGAGGAAGGUGGGGAUGACGUCAAAUCAUCAUGCCCCUUAUGGCCUGGGCUACACACGUACUACAAUGGCGUCUACAAAGAGCGGCAAGCCUGUGAAGGCAAGCGAAUCUCAUAAAGGACGUCUCAGUUCGGAUUGAAGUCUGCAACCCGACUUCAUGAAGCUGGAAUCGCUAGUAAUCGCGAAUCAGCAUGUCGCGGUGAAUACGUUCUCGGGCCUUGUACACACCGCCCGUCAAACCAUGGGAGUUGGUAAUGCCCGAAGCCGGUGGCAUAACCCUUCGGGGAGUGAGCCGUCGAAGGCAGGACCGAUGACUGGGGUUAAGUCGUAACAAGGUAUCCCUACGGGAACGUGGGGAUG